UCACCGGCCUGAAUCUAAUCCAAUCUGAGGCUACAGUCAGUCUACAUCUGUAGAGCAUCAAAUUAGCUUGUCCCGAGUUACUACCCUGAUGACACAGAGGGCUUCAUCAACAACGGCACCCCCAGUCAGCACCAACUCAUAAGAUGAGGAAGUACAUUGAUUAUGAAGAUUUCCUGCUGCAGUUGUUCAAAAGAUGUCCAGUUUACAGCCGAUCAUGAAACAGAGUAGACCAGCAAGGGGACCCUCAGCAUCACGCAGACAUGCCCUUGCUUUGAGCAAUCCUAUAAAUGGAACAGGGAGGACACUUGAAAUCAGAAACAUGUAUGGAGCCAGCACAUGGAGAUUUGCAAGAUGUGAUGAAGUCCAGACUGGCUUGGAGAGAGACCUGGCACUCAGCAUUACAUUUUUACUAGACAAAACUUUUACUAGUACUGUCUUUUUUUCUUAAUUGAAUGAUAUCAGUACAUAUGGGGAGGGAAUAACCCUGUAUAUUCUACAGCAGAAUCAGAGAACUCCUGUUAUAUACGGGACACCACACAGGAUGACCAGACAUGUUUGUCAAGGUAGUCCCAUUACCACCAGACAAAAUGUUGAUAGACACAGUAUGUGUAUUGGCUGAGAAUGACAAUGAAAAGUGAAAGGUGCACACUGUGAUAUUAGCAGAACUACUUCUAUGGUAUUAUGAUAAGGGUUGUUUAUUCUACAAGGACCUGUUACAAUAUUUGAAAGUUAUCAA